rnacentral:sRNA from 1 species
CCAGAAACAAGGUCGACUAAGUACGCAACGUCCUGUUGCAAAGUCGACACUAGCACGUCCUGUGCG